rfam:Ictidomys tridecemlineatus contig032247, whole genome shotgun sequence.
GGGAAUAUAGCCCAGUUGGUAGAGUGCUUGCCUUGCAUGCACAAGGCCCUAGGUUCAAUUCCAAGUACCCG